rnacentral:rRNA from 1 species
CCUACGGGGGGCAGCAGUGGGGAAUAUUGGACAAUGGGGGAAACCCUUAUCCAGCGACGCCGCGUGAGGGAAGAAGGUUUUCGGAUUGUAAACCUCUGUCAGUGGGGACGAUAAUGACGGUACCCACGGAGGAAGCCACGGCUAACUACGUGCCAGCAGCCGCGGUAAUACGUAGGUGGCAAGCGUUGUCCGGAAUUACUGGGUGUAAAGGGAGCGUAGGCGGGGUGUCAAGUCAGAAGUGAAAAUUAUGGGCUCAACUCAUAACCUGCUUUUGAAACUGAUAUUCUUGAGUGAAGUAGAGGCAA